rnacentral:other from 1 species
GGCAGGCUGCGCGGUUCGUUAGGAGCCAUUUUCCUCGGGCCCUAUAAGAUUCCUAUGGGAGCUGACCCUGCCGGAGACCGUGGUCUCUGGCACUCGGCGCCCACCUACAUAUGUAGGGACGCCGGGAAUCGGUGCUCCGACGGCUGUCGCGGCCUUGCU